UACGAAGGGGCUAGCGUUGCUCGGAAUUACUGGGCGUAAAGGGAGCGUAGGCGGACAUUUAAGUCAGGGGUGAAAUCCCAGAGCUCAACUCUGGAACUGCCUUGAUACUGGAUGUCUUGAGUGUGAGAGAGGUAUGUGGAACUCCGAGUGUAGAGGUGAAAUUCGUAGAUAUUCGGAAGAACACCAGUGGCGAAGGCGACAUACUGGCUCAUUACUGACGCUGAGGCUCGAAAGCGUGGGAGCAAACAGG
rnacentral:rRNA from 1 species